ensembl:lncRNA novel transcript
AAUUACAACAUCAACCCUCAUAUUUCAUCGCAUGGGCAAAUUACCAGUCGAGUCAAGAAUAAACUCAUUCUGCCCUACUGGCGCUCUAGAUCGAGUUGCACAAUCCUGGGGCAGAACCGCCUUCACCUAGCCCUAGAGCAUCAGGUACUAAGUUAGUGUGAGGACAUUUUAAAGCGGGAGGGAAACUCAAGGGACUUAGCCCAUACUCCCAAAUUCAGAAAUUUGUCACGUCACUUGAGAUCAGAAUGAAAUUUAAGUUUCAGUCCCUUUGAGAUCUCUGAGCGCACAAAGUCAGGCUGCUAUCACUCGGCUGGGGAGUCCGAACCCGGCUGGAUAAAAACUACUUGGUGCGGAACUCGCAUCUUUUCCGCCCACCGUGGGGGGGCCGCACCGGUCGGGUCCGGCCAGGAACCCGGGCGCGAGUUUGGGGGCGCAGCGGGGGCGGCGAGCGCGCGUCCCCCCGCCCGCUCAGGCAGCGUAGAGGUGCGAGCAGCUCAGCCAGCCUUGCAGAGGGAGCUCUCGGCAGCUCUGGGGUCCCUCUGCUCGCAGCCGCUGCAGCGCCGCCUGCGCCACUCGGCGGAGACGGAGACCAGCGGCGGCGACGCGCGGACUGGGAGCGACCGCCGAGCAGCCAAGCAGCUGGGAAGGCACGCAGGCCGGCAGGCUUGGAAUACAUGAGGAAGAAGAGUGGGAGACAGGAGGAAAGGUAAGGUUGGGAGAGGGCAAGAGGAAAGGAGGAGAGUAGAGGGAACACUCCAUCGAUUGCCAGCACAAUAAACUGUAUCAUGGACUACUUCA